ACUGUUAGACUUGAGAAUGGACGAGGUAGGCGGAAUUCGUAGUGUAGCGGUGAAAUGCAUAGAUAUUACGAAGAACUCCAAUAGUGUAGACUGCUUACCAGACCAUAUCUGACACUAAGGCACGAAAGUGUGGGUAUCAAACAGGAUUAGAUACCCUGGUAGUCCACACAGUAAACGAUGAAUACUAACUGUUUGCGAUAUACUGCAAGUGGUCGAGCGAAAGCGUUAAGUAUUCCACCUGGGAAGUAUGCCGGCAACGGUGAAACUCAAAGGAAUUGACGGGGGCCCGCACAAGCGGAGGAACAUGUGGUUUAAUUCGAUAAUACGCGAGGAACCUUACCCGGGCUCGAACGAUAUUUGAAUACAUCCGAAAAGAUGUAGCUAGCAAUAGCAAAUACCGAGGUGCUGCAUGGUUGUCGUCAGCUCGUGCCGUGAGGUGUCGACUUAAGUGUCAUAACGAGCGCAACCCUUACCGAUAGUUACCAUCAGAUAAUGCUGGGGACUCUAUUGGGACUGCCACCGUAAGGUGUGAGGAAGGAGAGGAUGACGUCAAAUCAGCACGGCCCUUAUGUCCGGGGCGACACACGUGUUACAAUGGGAGAAACAAAGGGUCGCUACCUGGCAACAGGAUGCUAAUCUCGAAAAUCUCUCUCAGUUCGGAUUGGAGUCUGCAACUCGACUCCAUGAAGCUGGAUUCGCUAGUAAUCGCACAUCAGCCAUGGUGCGGUGAAUACGUUCCCGGGCCUUGUACACACCGCCCGUCAAGCCAUGGAAGCUGGAAGUACCUGAAGUAUGUAACUGAAAAGAGCGUCCU
rnacentral:rRNA from 1 species